rnacentral:miRNA from 1 species
UUUUGAUUGUUGCUCUGAGAGUU